rnacentral:rRNA from 1 species
GAUGAACGCUGGCGGCGUGCUUAACACAUGCAAGUCGAACGGGAAUUAUUUUAUUGAAACUUCGGUCGAUUUAAUUUAAUUCUAGUGGCGGACGGGUGAGUAACGCGUGGGUAACCUGCCUUAUACAGGGGAAUAACAGUCAGAAAUGGCUGCUAAUACCGCAUAAGCGCACAGAGCUGCAUGGCUCAGUGUGAAAAACUCCGGUGGUAUAAGAUGGACCCGCGUUGGAUUAGCUUGUUGGCAGGGUAACGGCCUACCAAGGCGACGAUCCAUAGCCGGCCUGAGAGGGUGAACGGCCACAUUGGGACUGAGACACGGCCCAGACUCCUACGGGAGGCAGCAGUGGGGAAUAUUGCACAAUGGGGGAAACCCUGAUGCAGCGACGCCGCGUGAAGGAAGAAGUAUCUCGGUAUGUAAACUUCUAUCAGCAGGGAAGAUAGUGACGGUACCUGACUAAGAAGCCCCGGCUAACUACGUG